UGCAAAUUAAACACUGCCUUGUUGCUAAC
rnacentral:sRNA from 1 species